ACACCGGCAGCUCGAGUGGUAGCUGUUUUUAUUGGGCCUAAAGCGUUCGUAGCCGGUUUGAUAAGUCUUUGGUGAAAGCUUGUAGCUUAACUAUAAGAAUUGCUGGAGAUACUAUCAGACUUGAAGUCGGGAGAGGUUAGAGGUACUACCGGGGUAGGGGUGAAAUCCUAUAAUCCUGGGAGGACCACCUGUGGCGAAGGCGUCUAACUGGAACGAUCUUGACGGUGAGUAACGAAAGCCAGGGGCGCGAACCGGAUUAGAUACCCGGGUAGUCCUGGCCGUAAACGAUGUGGACUUGGUGUUGGGAUGGCUUCGAGCUGCCCCAGUGCCGAAGGGAAGCUGUUAAGUCCACCGCCUGGGAAGUACGGCCGCAAGGCUGAAACUUAAAUGAAUUGGCGGGG
rnacentral:rRNA from 1 species